rnacentral:rRNA from 1 species
GUGCUUCCCAGCUUUAUAGUACUUCGCACCCCAGGUGUGUUGUACACCCAGGUCCAGUUAAAGUAUGUCUGUGUGACAGGUGAGCCUGUUCAUCGUAUGAUAGGUGAGCUGGUUCGUUGUAUGGUAGGUGAGCCUACUGUCAAGUGGUGAGCUGGCAUGCUGAGUGAGCCUAUAUGCUUCUGGUCGUCCGUCGUUUCGUCAGCCGUAGAAAGAUUAUCACUUCCGAAUUAUCACCCGACAGUAAUAUCGUAAGUAUGGGGUGAAACAUUGUAUCCUCCACUCCUCCACCGCGUGAGAUAUAUUCGGUGGGGGGUGGUGAUCUGAAUCCCCCGAAGAAGAAGGUGGAGAGAGAAAAAAGUGGUAAUCAGAGUCCUGAAUCGAGUCCGUACCCCUAGGCAAGGAGAGAGAGUGUGUGUAACAUUAGAGGCCUAUAUAUGAGUCUAUUUUGUUUCGGAGAGGCCUCGUGCUCUGCAUCCCAACAAUAGAGGUGGCACUC